rfam:Hepacivirus hominis isolate 14DH42, complete genome
AUCCCAGUCCUAGGGGCGCCACUUGGUGGCGUUGCAGCUGCCCUGGCACACGGUGUUAGAGCAGUUGAGGACGGGAUUAAUUAUGCAACAGGGAAUUUACCCGGUUGCUCCUU